CCUACGGGUGGCAGCAGUGAGGAAUAUUGGUCAAUGGACGCAAGUCUGAACCAGCCAUGCCGCGUGCAGGAAGACGGCUCUAUGAGUUGUAAACUGCUUUUGUACGAGGGUAAACGCAGAUACGCGUAUCUGUCUGAAAGUAUCGUACGAAUAAGGAUCGGCUAACUCCGUGCCAGCAGCCGCGGUAAUACGGAGGAUGCAAGCGUUAUCCGGAUUUAUUGGGGUUAAAGGGUGCGUAGGCGGUGCGGUAAGUCAGCGGUGAAAUGCCCUGGCUCAACGGUGGGAAGUGCCAUUGAUACUGUUUGGCUGGAAUGCGGAUGCGGUGGGAGGAAUGUGUGGUGUAGCGGUGAAAUGCAUAGAGAUCAUACAGAACACCGAUUGCGAAGGCAGCUUACGAAUCUGCGACUGACGCUGAUGCACGAAAGCGUGGGUAUCAAACAGGAUUAGAUACCCUUGUAGUC
rnacentral:rRNA from 1 species